GGGCAGAAUUUGCAGUCAGAAGAAAAGCAACACCUGGGGGGCACCAGGGUGCAGAAGCUCCAUCCAAGGGGAGCAGAUGGAAAUAUUUAGAGCACUCUAUGCGCUAACAUGGACUGUAGUUUAGGGGACAGAGAUAUGAAGUUCAGUGGCUUAUGGCCCCCUAGUCCUUCCUCUUAGGAACCUGUGUGUGUGUGUGUGUGUGUGUGUGUGUGUGUCCCCUUUUAUCUUCCCUACACUGGGAGGAAGGACAGGAGGAGAAAU